rnacentral:sRNA from 1 species
AUCGCUGCCAAUCUAUUGCUGCUAAUCUAUCGCUGCCAACCUAUCUACCGCGGCGAAUCUAUCUAUCACUGCCAAUUUAUCUACCACUGCCAAUCUAUCUAUUGCUGCUAAGCUAUCUAUCGCUACCAAUUUAUCUACCACUGCCAAUCUAUCUAUCGCUGCUAAUCUAUAUAGGGUAAAUCAUGGUCCUGUUAAUUUAUAAAUAUAACAUGAUCUAGGACUAGAAUUAUAAUAUAAAUCAUGUAAAGUGACUGAUUUCAUAAACACUAUAUGGGACCAGGACUAAGAUAUUUGAGAAUGGGACUGAGGAAAAGUC